rnacentral:rRNA from 1 species
GUAGGGGGCAAGCGUUGUCCGGAUUUAUUGGGCGUAAAGAGCGUGUAGGCGGCCAGAUAGGUCCGUUGUGAAAACUCGAGGCUCAACCUCGAGACGCCGAUGGAAACCAUUUGGCUAGAGUCCGGAAGAGGAGAGUGGAAUUCCUGGUGUAGCGGUGAAAUGCGCAGAUAUCAGGAAGAACACCCGUGGCUAAGGCGGCUCUCUAGUACGGUACUGACGCUGAGACGCGAAAGCGUGGGGAGCGAACAGGAUUAGAUACCCUGGUAGUCCACGCCGUAAACGAUGGGUGCUAGGUGUGGGGGGUGUCGACUCCCUCCGUGCCGAAACUAACGCAUUAAGCACCCCGCCUGGGGAGUACGGCCGCCAGGCUAA